CUACGCUCUCCGCCCACAGGGUGGGAUCCCUCCGCGCCGGCAGCGUAGCCGGAUCUAGCCCCCUUCGCGCGCGCGAGGCGACAGGAGAAAAAAGAGUCCGCGGCAACGGCGGAGGAGGACAACGCAGAAUGGCGACGAGGAAAUCAGUGAAAGAGGAAAACAUGGAAUAGCUGGGCAACAUAUUUGGAUUUAUGGAACCAGGAGUCUUCCAGCUGGAACCAUUUUCAGAGCAUAGAGACAACAAUAAUAAAAGCCAAACUGAGAUGUCAUUACUGUUUACAUUUCCUGAGCAAAUAAAAAUGGCUUGACCUGA